CCGAGCGGAACGCCGAAUCCUGCCGCCGCCCGGAAUUCCCAUCCACCCACGUGUGGCAGGAGCGGGGGACCCAGGUAGUACGCCGAUUCCGGAUGUCCGGACGGCUUGGGGUGAAGUCGCGCGACAAGCGCGGCAGGGCAGCUCCGGCCCUAACCCGACAGCUCACCUCGCAGGCGCAGGAGAGGAAAUUC
rnacentral:sRNA from 2 species